rnacentral:rRNA from 1 species
UACGUAGGCAGCGAGCGUUGUCCUGAAUUAUUGGGCGUAAAGGGCUCGUAGGCGGUUUGUCGCGUCGGGAGUGAAAACGCCGGGCUUAACUCGGUGCUUGCUUUCGAUACGGGCAGACUAGAGGCAUGCAGGGGAGAACGGAAUUCCUGGUGUAGCGGUGAAAUGCGCAGAUAUCAGGAGGAACACCGGUGGCGAAGGCGGUUCUCUGGGCAUGUCCUGACGCUGAGGAGCGAAAGUGUGGGGAGCGAACAGG